rnacentral:rRNA from 1 species
CUCCUACGGGAGGCAGCAGUGAGGAAUAUUGCGCAAUGGAGGCAACUCUGACGCAGCCAUGCCGCGUGCAGGAAGAAGGCGCUACGCGUUGUAAACUGCUUUUAACCGGGAAGAAACCCCAGGACGUGUCCUGGGUUGACGGUACCGGAGGAAUAAGCACCGGCUAACUUCGUGCCAGCAGCCGCGGUAAUACGAAGGGUGCAAGCGUUAUCCGGAUUCAUUGGGUUUAAAGGGUGCGUAGGCGGGGUGAUAAGUCAGUGGUGAAAUCUUGCGGCUCAACCGUAAAAUUGCCAUUGAUACUGUCAUUCUUGAGUACGCUUGACGUAAGCGGAAUGUGCCGUGUAGCGGCGAAAUGCUUAGAUAUGGCACAGAACACCAAUAGCGAAGGCAGCUUACGAAGGCGAAACUGACGCUGAGGCACGAAAGCGUGGGGAUCGAACAGGAUUAGAUACCCUGGUAGUCCACGCCGUAAACGAUGAUCACUCGUUAUUGGCGAUAUACGGUCAGUAACCUAGCGAAAGCGUUAAG